CCUACGGGAGGCAGCAGUGAGGAAUAUUGGGCAAUGGGCGCAAGCCUGACCCAGCAAUGCCGCGUGCAGGAAGAAGGCUCUCGGGUUGUUAAAUUCCUUGUCUGGGGAAGCGCCGAAGACGGUACCCUGCAAACCAGCAAUGGCUAACUAAGUGCCAGCAGCAGCGGUCAUACGUAGGUGGCAAGCGUUGUCCGGAUUUACUGGGGUUAAAGGGCGUGUAGGGGGGAAUGCAAGUCAGAUGUGAAAUCCGGGGGCUCAACCCCCGAAGUGCAUUUGAAACUGGUGUGCUUGUGUACGGGAGAGGCAGACGGAAUUCGUUGUGUAGCGGUGAAAUGCGUAGAUAUAAGGAAGAACACCAGUUGCGAAGGCAGUCUGCUGGAGAGCAACUGACGGUGAGGCGCGAAAGCGUGGGGAUCGAACAGGAUUAGAUACCCGAGUAGUC
rnacentral:rRNA from 1 species